GUGGAUAUGGCUCAGUGGUAGAGUGCUUGCCUAGCAUGCAUGAGGCCCUGGGUUCGAUCCCCAGUAUCACA